rnacentral:rRNA from 1 species
UACGGGGGUGAGCGAGCGUUGUCCGGAAUCACUGGGCGUAAAGGCGCGUAGGUGGCGUUGAUAAGGGUGUGGUGAAAGCCCGGGACUCCGAACCCCGGGUCACUGGACCAUGCCGACUGUCAGGCUGAGUGCGUGUAGGGGGCAGCGGGAAUUCCGGGUGUAGCGGUGGAAUGCGUAGAGAUGCGGAGGAAGCACCGAUGGCGAAGGCAGCCCCUCGGGCGUAACACUGACGCUCAGCACGAAAGCGUGGGGAGCAAACAGG